rnacentral:tRNA from 1 species
UGCGGGGUAGUUUCUGCUGGUAGAAAUGCGUGGCUUUGAACCACGCGUCCGCAGGUUCGAUUCCUGCCCCCGCAAC